rnacentral:rRNA from 1 species
GCGUUGAAUCCAAUUAAACCGCAAGCUCCACCCGUUGUGUGCUCCCCCGCCAAUUCCUUUAAGUUUCAGCCUUGCGGCCGUACUUCCCAGGUGGCUCGCUUCACGGCUUCCCUACGGCACCGACAACGGUCGCACCGUUGCCGACACCUAGCGAGUAUCGUUUACGGCUAGGACUACCCGGGUAUCUAAUCCGGUUCGUGCCCCUAGCUUUCGUCCCUUGCCGUCAGGUCCGUUCUGGUGAGACGCCUUCGCCACUGGUGGUCCUUCAAGGAUUACAAGAUUUCACCCCUACCCCUGAAGUACCUCUCACCUCUCCCGGCCUCGAGCCAGACAGUAUCUCCUGAAAGCCUGACAGUUAAGCUGCCAGAUUUCCCAAGAGACUUAUCCGGCCGGCUACAGACCCUUUAGACCCAAUAAUAACGGUUACCACUCGAGCCGCCGGUGUUACCGCGGCGGCUGGCACCGGUCUUGCCCGGCCCUUGCUAUGCAAUGCUUUUUAGGCAUCACGACAGCCAGAUUUGUAACCUGGCACUCGAGGUCCCCUUAUCGCUGUUUCCAGCAUUGUAAAGUUUUCGCGCCUGCUGCACCCCGUAGGGCCUGGAUUCGUGUCUCAGAAUCCAUCUCCGGGCUCUUGCUCUCACAACCCGUACCCGUCGUAGGCUAGUAGGUACGCUACACCCACUACUACCUGAUAGGCCGCAGAUCCAUCCUUGAGCGCCGGAGCUUUGGAUCUCGAUGCAUUCCAGCAGUCGAGAUCUAUUGGGUAUUAUACCCAGUUUCCCGGGUUUAUCCCCAUCUCAAGGGUAGGUUAUCCACGUGUUACUGAGCAGUACGCCAUGUAUUGCUACAUUCGACUCGCAUGGCUUAGUCGAACCUCGAUAGCAGUAAUCUCCGGCGGGAUCAACCGGAA